rnacentral:lncRNA from 1 species
UAAAAUAGCUAGCAAAAAACUCACAAUAGCAGCAAACGAAAAUGUUUUUGAAAUUUCGGCGGACGUUUGCCUGCGAUGUUUUGAUUGGUGGGUGGCUAGUAGCGUCAUGACAUUAUACGUCGGUCUUGGUGUUUGGGUAAUGUAGUCUUGGACGCUGAUUCGUCAGAAACAACGUUAGCCUUUUUUGCAUCCGUCAACAACUGGCUGAUGCAUUUCAAGCAAGCUACAGCGCCUAAACUACCUUCAGAUAGUUAUUAUGGGCAUAACUUUGUAGCAAAUAAAUUACUUGAAAGCGUCGUACUGUUUACCGAUUAUUCCUUGGUUCUGGCCAGUUAUUAUUACAGCUAACAGCGAUGUGCUGUUGAGACUUUGGCUGAGUUCGAUGUCUUUCGACGGAUACAGCUGCUAAAGUGAUCUGGGCUGCAGCAGAUGUGUUGAUUUGUACUGGGCGCGACGAGCUGUAUGUCUUCAACACACAAGAACUGAAACUGACGGUAGGCUGAAUCUCAAACAUUACACUUCGCCCACUUCAAUUUACUAAAGGUGAUUCAACGACAAGGAACUGAUUAUUAAUGAACGCUGUUUACACACGGGUGAAUAGCAGGUGAACUGAUUAUGAUAAACACAGAUGAAUAGGUAAUACAAUUAACGGAUUAUUUAUUAACACUGACACGAGUAGCAGCAGGUAAACAUGACAAGGAACUGAGUAUUGAUGAACACUGAGGUGAACAACAGGUGAACUGAGCAUUGAUGAACACUGAGGUGAACAGCAGGUGAACUGAGUAUUGAUGAACACUGAGGUGAACAGCAGGUGAAUGGAGUAUUGAUGAACACAGGUGAACUGAGCAUUGAUGAACACUGAGGUGAACUGAGCAUUGAUGAACACUGAGGUGAACAGCAGGUGAACUGAGUAUGAAUGAAAACUGAAGUUGUAGUAAGGGUUUGAACCUGGCUGUCAGCUGUAUGUGAUAUUCUUAAUGGACAAGAAACACUCCUCUUUGGUUGGUUCUUGUCUGUGUUAUUCUAUGCUGUCCUUCAGUUCCUUAGUCCAGUGGAUCAUUUGGUGCGGAGUGAGGACAAGCAGUGUGUCUGUGCUGUCUGUGAGAGUGAUGGGGUGUACUGUGUCGAUCUACCAACUCUGCACCCCAGGUCUCCCACUCCCCCAGCUGACCAGUCCCCUGGCCCUGCUCUAUUCAAAAUGUUGUCUAAUUCGCUGGCAGCCAGAGACAAGGGUGUGUGUUCUCUGAUUGAGGUGGAGGGUUUGUCUCCCUGCGAGAUGCAGGCUGGGGGUUCACUUUCUAUAACGCUGCUGACCAACGGAAACUGACUGGAGUUUAGUCUACCUGUCAUUACUGUUGUCUACCAUGAUGACUCAGAAGAAAAUGACAGCGCAGGAGUGGUCAUGCAACCUGUGUUGGCUUGCGUUUACACCAACAUCUUCAACAACAACAACCACCAUUUUCAUCAUUAUCAUCCUCACCUGGCGUUGGCCAUUUUCUCCUGGAGCCUCUCCUCUUCAAGCUCCUCUUCGGUGUCGAAGCUGCCCUCAUCAACUCCCCUAUGAUCCUUUGCAGCCUGCUUAAUGGGCGUCUCUGCUCCCUCCGGGAUGACCAGGCCUCCGUGUCAGAGUACUACACAGCCCGGAGCAGCCAAUCACUUUUAUUGUAACCUUAGCCAGAAGAAAUGGUGGUCCACAGUGUUUGGUAUCAGUGGGCGACGGGGCAGGGUGGUGCUGGUCAGGACCUAUGAGGAGAGGCCGUAUGGGAGGAGUAAGGUAGCAAGCUUCACGUAGGGGUGUGUGUCGCGGCCUGUGGUGUGUGUGUUUGUGCGCAGGCAGGAAAGGCCUGUAGUAUAGCACCGGCUCAGAUACUCUAGCCCUGGAUCUCCCAGGGGAGCGAGAGGCAGCUCCAAGCCCAUGAGAGAGACUGAUGGUAGGCCACUGUGAGAGGCAAGACCAGGGUCAGGCCAUGGAUAGAGGUUGUGUGUGUGUGUUACAGGCACAGUGCAGCUGGUGGCGUUGUCUCUCAGAGGGAGGCUCCAGCUGUUGAGGUAACUGUAGGGGACACCAGUUUGAAGGAAGUUAAGGAGGCCGUGGAGGUGCAGUGUGUGGACUACACAUCAGCGGACUUGCCCUCCACAAUCACAAGACCUCAACCCAAUUGGGAUGAGUUGGACUGCAGAGUGAAGGAAACGCAGCCAACAAGUGCUCAGCAUAUGUGUGAACUCCUUCAAGACUGUUGGAAAAGCAUUCCAGGUGAAGCUGGUUGAGAGAAUGCCAAGAGUGCAAAGCUGUCAUCAAGGCAAAGGGUGGCUACUUUGAAGAAUCUCAAAUAUAUUUUGAUUUGAUUCAUGCUUUUUUGGUUACUACAUGAUUCCAUGUGUUAUUUCAUAGUUUUGCGGUCUUCACUAUUAUUCUACAAUAUAGAAAAUAGUAAAAAUAAAGACAAAUCCUGGAAUGAGUAGGUGCAUACUUCCUUAAUUCAUUUGAUCAAUAUUAUGUUUUUUCUAUUCCAAGAAAAACUAAAAACCCUCUGGGUUUCCAUUAGGAUGGAAUGGAAAAUACGGUGAUGUACAACGUGACGGUCGGUAGUACAGUACUGGGCUAUUUAGCUGUGGUUGCCGCCAGUUGUUUUUUAAAUUGAACCUUUAUUUGACUUGGCAAGUCAGGUAAGAACAAAUUCUUAUUUACAAUGAAGGCCUACCCUGGCCAAACCUGGAUCGCGCUGGGCCAACUGUGCACAGCCCUAUGGCACUCCCAAUCCCGGUUGGAUGUGAUACAGCCUGAAUUCGAACCAGGGACUGUAGUAAAGCCUCUUGUACCGAGAUGCAGUGCCUUAGACCAUCCCACAUACACUCCUCAUCCAUAACUUCUUCAUUCUCUGACACUGGUACCAUCCCACAUACUCCUCAUCCAUAACAUCCUCAUUCUCUGACACUGGUACCAUCCCACAUACGCCUCCUCAUCCAUAACAUCCUCAUUCUCUGACCUGGUAUCAUCCCACAUACGCUCCUCAUCCAUAACAUCCUCAUUUCUGACACUGGUACCUCCCCACAUACGUCCUCCAUCCAUAACAUCCUCAUUCUCUGACACUGGUACCACCCACAUCACGCUUCUCAUCCAUAACAUCUUCAUUCUCUGACACCGGUACCAUCCCACAUACGCUCCUAUCCAUAACAUCCUCAUUCUCUGACACCGGUUCCAUCCCACAUACGCUCCUCAUCCAUAACAUCCUCAUUCUCUGACACCGGUACCAUCCCACAUACGCUCUCAUCCAUAACAUCUUCAUUCUCUGACACCGGUACCAUCCCACAUACGCUCCUCAUCCAUAACAUCCUCAUUCUCUGACAACGGUACCACCCACAUACGCUUCUCAUCCAUAACAUCUCAUUCUCUGACACCGGUACCAUCCACAUACGCUCCUCACAUAACAUCCUCAUUCUCUGACACCGGUACCAUCCCACAUACGCUCCUCAUCCAUAACUCCUCAUUCUCUGACACCGGUACCAUCCCACAUACGCUUCUCAUCCAUAACAUCUUCAUUCUCUGACACCGGUACCAUCCCACAUACGCUCCUCAUCCAUACAUCCUCCUUCUCUGACACCGGUACCAUCCCACAUACGCUCCUCACCUAACAUCCUCAUCUCUGACACGCGUACCAUCCCAAUAGCCUCCUCAUCCAUAACA